rnacentral:rRNA from 1 species
GACGAACGCUGGCGGCGUGCCUAAUACAUGCAAGUAGAACGCUGAAGGCGGGCCUUGCUCGGCUGGAUGAGUUGCGAACGGGUGAGUAACGCGUAGGUAACCUGCCCGGUACCGGGGGAUAACUACUGGAAACUAUAGCUAAUACCGCAUAACAGCAGAUGCUGCAUGACAUUUGCUGGAAAGGUGCAAUUGCAUCGGUUGGAGAUGGACCUGCGGCGUAUUAGCUUGUUGGAGGGGUAGUGGCUUACCAAGGCGUUGAUGGGUAGCCGGCCUGAGAGGGUGACCGGCCACAGUGGGACUGAGAUACGGACCAGACUCCUACGGGAGGCAGCAGUGGGGAAUAUUGCACAAUGGGCGGAAGCCUGAUGCAGCAACGCCGCGUGCGGGAUGACGGCCUUCGGGUUGUAAACCGCUUUCGCCUGUGACGAAGCGUGAGUGACGGUAAUGGGUAAAGAAGCACCGGCUAACUACGUG